rnacentral:rRNA from 1 species
CCUACGGGACGCAGCAGUGAGGAAUAUUGGUCAAUGGGAGAGAUCCUGAACCAGCCAAGCCGCGUGAGGGACGACGGUCCUAUGGAUUGUAAACCUCUUUUGUCGGGGAACAAAGGCGCCCACGGGUGGGCGGAUGAGUGUACCCGAAGAAAAAGCAUCGGCUAACUCCGUGCCAGCAGCCGCGGUAAUACGGAGGAUGCGAGCGUUAUCCAGAUUUAUUGGGUUUAAAGGGUGUGUAGGCGGACGGUCAAGUCAGCGGUAAAAAUGCGGUGCUCAACGCCGUACAGCCGUUGAAACUGGCAGUG